rnacentral:RNase_MRP_RNA from 1 species
UCUGCUUUGGGGGAAAAGUCCCCCGGCAUCUACGGCGCGGAUGGUGUGCGUGGUCGGCAAGAGAACGGAGCACAGUUUUGGGUCAAUUCAAUAGUGUAUUAUUAGAUUUAAUCAAGGUCCAUAGUAAGGAUGCAUUUCUGAUUUUUUGGACAGU